rnacentral:sRNA from 1 species
CCCAACAUGUGUGCUCCCUCCGAAUUUCCACGCAUUGAAUACUUGGAUCAACGGGAUCAAUCGCUGGCUUCUCCUGCAUCCUGCAUUGAGUUGCCUUUAUUAAAUUUGAAGCGUUAACUCUAGAUGGAAAAUUCUACUAAUUCUCCUCUCCUCCCACGUCCUCCCCCCUCCCGAGCCUGGCAAUAGGACUAGUAUUUGCAACCAAAAGAAGCAAAUACUGGACUGACAGUAUUCCUCUGGGUGGCUUCAAGUUGUUUCGUCGAACAAGAACGGACAGCAAGGGCAAAUAGAUUCCCAGUCCCGCAUGAUAUCCACACCUGACAUCAAGAUAGGAAAUCGCUAUUAUUCAGACUACAUACUCUUUUAAUUCCCAGUUCAAUAGGGUGAGUAGUGAUGCAGCGUUCCCUCACAUGCAUAAAACGGGUGGGCGGGGGAUCUCAGGAUACUAUGACGACAUUUCCAACCAACAUCUUUGCCCAAGGCCAAUAGCUCUUUUCUCACCAUACAAUCGGCGGAACGUUGGAACGGAAUUGGGCAUCCAUGCAGCAUAGCAUGGGCCAUGCCUGGGGAUGCGGCAAAAUGGAAGUCAUUCUGACAUAGUAAUUCAUCUAACCUGGGAUAAAGUUUGAGUGCAAGAUAUGAGGAUUUGAACAUUUUCAAAUAAGAUACUCAUAAGUCACCGAGAAGCUUAAAAACCUGGCGAAUUAAAAUCACGCCGCGAACGGCCACAGAUUUACCAAAGCCGCCAGAUAUACCGUAUUUCACAGUGGAAGAAAUCUGAAUCGUUCCACAGAUUGCUGAAGUGCGCGACAAUCCAACUUCAGCAGAAUCCUUGUUGAACACACUCGUUUUAUUGUCCGAUAACCCCGCCAACCCAACUUUUUCUCACUCCUCGUUUGGAACCCAACUACCCCUCCUUCCUCCGUGUCAUAUGGAGGCGACAACAAACAGGUCAUAGACUCUGACGCAACCAUGCAUAUUCGACAACUAUCACCCCGCGGCGGGGUGAAAGACGGGUAGAGAAGGUUCUGUUACUGGUAGUCCGCUCGCUGCGGAUAGCCGUUGCAAAUUUCAUAGCCACAA